AAGGGCUUAGCUUAAUUAAAGUAAUUGAUUUGCGUUCAGUUGAUGUGGAGUAGAGUUCUGCAGUCCUUA
rnacentral:tRNA from 1 species